rnacentral:rRNA from 1 species
GAUGAACGCUGGCGGCGUGCCUAAUACAUGCAAGUCGAGCGAACAGACGAGGAACUUGCUCCUCUGACGUUAGCGGCGUACGGGUGAGUAACACGUGGAUAACCUACCUAUAAGACUGGGAUAACUUCGGGAAACCGGAGCUAAUACCGGAUAACAUGUUGAACCGCAUGGUUCAACAGUGAAAGACGGUCUUGCUGUCACUUAUAGAUGGAUCCGCGCCGCAUUAGCUAGUUGGUAAGGUAACGGCUUACCAAGGCAACGAUGCGUAGCCGACCUGAGAGGGUGAUCGGCCACACUGGAACUGAGACAAGGUCCAGAAUCCUGAGGGAGGCAGCGGUAGGGAAUCUUCCGCAAUGGGCGAAAGCCUGAAGGAGCAAAGCCGCGUGAGUGAAGAAGGUCUUCGGAUCGUAAAACACUGUUAUUAGGGAAGAACAAAUGUGUAAGUAACUAUGCAAGUAUUGACGGUACCUAAUCAGAAAGCCACGGCUAACUACGUG